rnacentral:rRNA from 1 species
GAUUAACGCUAGCGGCAGGCCUAAUACAUGCAAGUUGAACGGGAUUGAUUGUAGCAAUACGGUCAUGAGAGUAGCGCACGGGUGCGUAACACAUAUGCAACCUACCUAUAACUGGGGAAUAGCCUCCCGAAAGGGAGAUUAAUACCGCAUAAUAUUAUUGAAUGGCAUCAUUUGAUAAUUAAACCUCAGGGGGUUAUAGAUGGGCAUGCGUCCGAUUAGCUAGUUGGUGAGGUAAUGGCUCACCAAGGCUACGAUCGGUAGGGGGUCUGAGAGGAUGAUCCCCCACACUGGAACUGAGACACGGACCAGACUCCUACGGGAGGCAGCAGUAAGGAAUAUUGGACAAUGGGCGCAAGCCUGAUCCAGCCAUGCCGCGUGAAGGAGGAAGGCCCUAUGGGUCGUAAACUUCUUUUAAACGGGACGAAACCCCUCGACGUGUCGAGGGCUGACGGUACCGUAAGAAUAAGGGUCGGCUAACUUCGUGCCAGCAGCCGCCGUAA